AGAGUUUGAUCAUGGCUCAGAUUGAACGCUGGCGGCAGGCCUAACACAUGCAAGUCGAGCGGUAGCACAGAGAGCUUGCUCUCGGGUGACGAGCGGCGGACGGGUGAGUAAUGUCUGGGAAACUGCCUGAUGGAGGGGGAUAACUACUGGAAACGGUAGCUAAUACCGCAUAACGUCGCAAGACCAAAGAGGGGGACCUUCGGGCCUCUUGCCAUCAGAUGUGCCCAGAUGGGAUUAGCUAGUUGGUGGGGUAACGGCUCACCUAGGCGACGAUCCCUAGCUGGUCUGAGAGGAUGACCAGCCACACUGGAACUGAGACACGGUCCAGACUCCUACGGGAGGCAGCAGUGGGGAAUAUUGCACAAUGGGCGCAAGCCUGAUGCAGCCAUGCCGCGUGUGUGAAGAAGGCCUUCGGGUUGUAAAGCACUUUCAGCGGGGAGGAAGGCGAUAAGGUUAAUAACCUUGUCGAUUGACGUUACCCGCAGAAGAAGCACCGGCUAACUCCGUGCCAGCAGCCGCGGUAAUACGGAGGGUGCAAGCGUUAAUCGGAAUUACUGGGCGUAAAGCGCACGCAGGCGGUUUGUUAAGUCGGAUGUGAAAUCCCCGGGCUCAACCUGGGAACUGCAUCCGAAACUGGCAAGCUAGAGUCUCGUAGAGGGGGGUAGAAUUCCAGGUGUAGCGGUGAAAUGCGUAGAGAUCUGGAGGAAUACCGGUGGCGAAGGCGGCCCCCUGGACGAAGACUGACGCUCAGGUGCGAAAGCGUGGGGAGCAAACAGGAUUAGAUACCCUGGUAGUCCACGCCGUAAACGAUGUCGACUUGGAGGUUGUGCCCUUGAGGCGUGGCUUCCGGAGCUAACGCGUUAAGUCGACCGCCUGGGGAGUACGGCCGCAAGGUUAAAACUCAAAUGAAUUGACGGGGGCCCGCACAAGCGGUGGAGCAUGUGGUUUAAUUCGAUGCAACGCGAAGAACCUUACCUGGUCUUGACAUCCACAGAACUUUCCAGAGAUGGAUUGGUGCCUUCGGGAACUGUGAGACAGGUGCUGCAUGGCUGUCGUCAGCUCGUGUUGUGAAAUGUUGGGUUAAGUCCCGCAACGAGCGCAACCCUUAUCCUUUGUUGCCAGCGGUUAGGCCGGGAACUCAAAGGAGACUGCCAGUGAUAAACUGGAGGAAGGUGGGGAUGACGUCAAGUCAUCAUGGCCCUUACGACCAGGGCUACACACGUGCUACAAUGGCAUAUACAAAGAGAAGCGACCUCGCGAGAGCAAGCGGACCUCAUAAAGUAUGUCGUAGUCCGGAUUGGAGUCUGCAACUCGACUCCAUGAAGUCGGAAUCGCUAGUAAUCGUGGAUCAGAAUGCCACGGUGAAUACGUUCCCGGGCCUUGUACACACCGCCCGUCACACCAUGGGAGUGGGUUGCAAAAGAAGUAGGUAGCUUAACCUUCGGGAGGGCGCUUACCACUUUGUGAUUCAUGACUGGGGUGAAGUCGUAACAAGGUAACCGUA
rnacentral:rRNA from 1 species